UGAGGAAUAUUGGUCAAUGGGCGAGAGCCUGAACCAGCCAAGUAGCGUGCAGGAUGACGGCCCUAUGGGUUGUAAACUGCCUUUAUAUGGGAAUAAAGUGAGGGACGUGUCCCUUAUUGCAUGUACCAUACGAAUAAGGACCGGCUAAUUCCGUGCCAGCAGCCGCGGUAAUACGGAAGGUCCAGGCGUAAUCCGGAUUUAUUGGGUUUAAAGGGAGCGUAGGCUGUUUGUUAAGCGUGUUGUGAAAUGUAGGAGCUCAACUUUUAGAUUGCAGCGCGAACUGGCAGACUUGAGUGCGCACAACGUAGGCGGAAUUCAUGGUGUAGCGGUGAAAUGCUUAGAUAUCAUGACGAACUCCGAUUGCGAAGGCAGCUUACGGGAGCGCAACUGACGCUAAAGCUCGAAGGUGCGGGUAUCGAACAGG
rnacentral:rRNA from 1 species